rnacentral:lncRNA from 1 species
AAUAACUUCCAACAUCAGUGUAAGUUGUUAUGCGAUAAAAGAAUGGUGGGGCUCAAUUACCACUAUGUUAUAUUUAAUUUUAUAUUGAAUCUUUAAUCAUUACUGAAGUGAAUUUCAUUAGGUUUUCAUAUAUAUUUUUUUGAGAGGUAGGUUUUUAUAUUAUGUUAAACUCACUUUUUACAAAACUUGGUUGUAUGGUGGAGAGUGACAUUUUUUAUAAAUACAUUUCAAGUCUUAUCUUUAUUUUACAUGAAAUUUGAAUUUUUCUUAAUACAUACUCUCACGUCCAACACUAUUAAAUUUGGUGGGUGGCCUGAAUUAAUAAACUCGGAUACCAUAUUAUAAUUUAGAUUGGGUCUAACUUAUUCUUAUAAAACUACUUGUAAGGUGAAGAGUGUUGGAU